rnacentral:tRNA from 1 species
CAAUGGGCUCUUCUUGGGUNUGNGUCGAUGCCCGAGCGGUUAAUGGGGACGGACUGUAAAUUCGUUGGCAAUAUGUCUACGCUG